GGAGGGGUUCCCGAGUUGGCCAAAGGGGGCAGACUGUAAAUCUGCUGGCUCCGCCUUCGCUGGUUCGAGUCCAGCCCCCUCCACCA
rnacentral:tRNA from 1 species